AAAAUGCGAUACGUAAUGCGAAUUGCAGAAUUCAGUGAAUCAUCAAAUCUUUGAACGCAAAUUGCGCUCUCGGGAUAGGCCUGGGAGCACGCCUCUUUGAGUAUCGAUUCCACCACAACUCGAAGGCGUGCAUUUUUCGAAGUGUACUGCCGACGGAUAUUGAGCGUUCUCGCGUUUUUAACUCGAGAUGCUUUAAAUUUAGCGAGUGGCACGAUUUCUGAAUCGAGACCAAUUUUGUCUCUAGUGACGAGGAUAACUUCACAUUCAGUUGUGAACCCUUCCAUCGUGACUAUUGAGAUAGAGGACGUUUUGAUACCAGUUAUCAAUGUGCGCACGGUACUCUCUGCUGACUUCCAAAGAAGGCAGAGAAUUACUUUGAACUAGAUCUCAAAUGAAGCGA
rnacentral:misc_RNA from 1 species